rnacentral:rRNA from 1 species
AUACGUAGGGAGCGAGCGUUGUCCGGAAUUACUGGGCGUAAAGGGUGCGUAGGUGGUUUCUUAAGUCAGAAGUGAAAGGCUACGGCUCAACCGUAGUAAGCUUUUGAAACUAAGAGACUUGAGUGCAGGAGAGGAGAGUAGAAUUCCUAGUGUAGCGGUUAAAUGCGUAGAUAUUAGGAGGAAUACCAGUUGCGAAGGCGGCUCUCUGGACUGUAACUGACACUGAGGCACGAAAGCGUGGGGAGCAAACAGGAUUAGAUACCCUGGUAGUCCACGCCGUAAACGAUGAGUACUAGCUGUCGGGGGUUACCCCCCUCGGUGGCGCAGCUAACGCAUUAAGUACUCCGCCUGGGAAGUACGCUCGCAAGAGUGAAACUCAAAUGAAUUGACGGGG